GCCCCUGUAGCUCAGUUGGCCAGAGCAGCCGCCUUGUAAGCGGCAGGUCGCCGGUUCGAACCCGGCCGGGGGCC
rnacentral:tRNA from 1 species